rnacentral:rRNA from 1 species
AAUAUUGCACAAUGGGCGCAAGCCUGAUGCAGCCAUGCCGCGUGUAUGAAGAAGGCCUUCGGGUUGUAAAGUACUUUCAGCAGUGAGGAAGGCAGGUACGUUAAUAGCGUGCUUGUUUGACGUUAGCUGCAGAAGAAGCACCGGCUAACUCCGUGCCAGCAGCCGCGGUAAUACGGAGGGUGCGAGCGUUAAUCGGAAUUACUGGGCGUAAAGCGCAUGCAGGUGGUUUGUUAAGUCAGAUGUGAAAGCCCGGGGCUCAACCUCGGAAUUGCAUUUGAAACUGGCAGACUAGAGUACUGUAGAGGGGGUAGAAUUUCAGGUGUAGCGGUGAAAUGCGUAGAGAUCUGAAGGAAUACCGGUGGCGAAGGCGGCCCCCUGGACAGAUACUGACACUCAGAUGCGAAAGCGUGGGGAGCAAACAGGAUUAGAUACCCUGGUAG